UGGGUAACCUGCCUUAUAGUGGGGGAUAGCCUUUCGAAAGGAAGAUUAAUACCGCAUAAGAUUGUAGUAUCGCAUGAUAUAGCAAUUAAAGGAGCAAUUCGCUAUAAGAUGGACCCGCGUCGCAUUAGCUAGUUGGUGAGGUAAUGGCUCACCAAGGCGACGAUGCGUAGCCGACCUGAGAGGGUGAUCGGCCACAUUGGGACUGAGACACGGCCAGACUCCUACGGGAGGCAGCAUG
rnacentral:rRNA from 1 species